AUUUUGAAGGGGAUAACAUAAUUUGGAUGAAUAAAUGAAUAUUUUUUUAUAAAAAUGAAAAGUCACCUAACUUUUUGAUCACACCUCGUAUGUGGGAUAAAUUCGGUGUGACAGCAGAGGAAAUCAGUGUUCAGCACGUUGUUGAUCCUGAACGACGCCUCUAUUUUUUAUCCGAUUUCCCACAUUUGAUAAAAUGUUUUCGAAAUUUCUUUUCCAAGCACAAUCGAUAUGACGAUAUUUGGACGCCAGAUGGGAUGGUGUCGUUAAAACAUUGGUAUGCUCUGCUUUGUAUAGAAAAUCUGAAAGCGUUCAAUUUAAGAGUUAAUUAUAAAUUAACGGAACAUCACGUAAAACCAGCUUACUACCAAAAAAUGAAUGACGCGUUAGCAUUUCAAUUCUUUGGAGUCGCUGAUGGUACGACAUUGUUGCGAAAUGAUCACGCAGAUCUUGCAGACUAUGAUGGAUCUAUCAAAUUUUGUACUUGAGUUAAAGCACUGAUUACAGCAAUGAACAGCCGAACACCCAUGAAUUCGUUGAAACCGGGCAAUCAAAUGUGGAAUGAUAUACAGGACUUCUUGAAUUAUCUGUGUGAAUGGGAAAAGGAAGCCAAAGAAAAAAAUUAGUUAAUUGAGUUUAUAACGGAUUCGACAUGUUAUGGUUUAAAAAUAACUUUGCAAGCCGCCUUAGAACUUUCCACGUUUCUUAUUAAAAAGCACAAAUUUAAGUACUUAAUGACUGCAAGACUUAACCAAGACAAUUUGGAACAAUUUUUUGGUAUGAUGCGCCAUUGCUGUGGAUCAAAUGAGCACCCGGACUCUUAAUUGUUUGUACAGAUGUAUAAACUAGUCUCUAAGUACUCACUAGUGAAACCUGCGAGAGGUUGUAAUAUUUCUGGUGGAGAACUGAUGGAUGUACUUUUAAGUAUCAAGGACAUAAACAACUCCAAUGAACGGCAAGAACAGUAGCUGAAUCAAAUCGAUACAAUUGUAGAUAGAGGGACAGAUGUUGAUAUUCUUGUUAAUAUUGCCCCCAAAUUUGAAGAUCAUGAUCAUAUGUAUAGUACGUCCGAUUAUGUCUUAUGUUAUAUAGCUGAAUAUGUUGCUAGGAAAGGUCAACAAUUCACAACAUUUGUGAAACAUAAAAGAUCUACUGUCUGCAAAGAUUGUAAAGAAACGUUAAUGUUAGGGCCAAACGAAAAAAUACCCGAUACCCACCAGUUAAUUCAAUUGAGAAACAAGGGAAGUUUGAAACAUCCAUCAAAUGCACUGGUCAAUUUAAUUUCCAUUUUAGAGCAUGGUACAAUUAAAGCAACGCAAAAUGGAGAAAUUAAUGCUAGCACCCUAUUUAACAUAACAAAUACAAUACAAAAACUAUCGCCUCUGCCUGCAGUUGGUUGUGCAAAGCAUAAAAAUGAAGUUACUCAGAAAAUUAUACGAUCUUUUUUAACAACCAGAAUGUGCUUUCUUUGUAAAAAAUCAAAUGAAAACAACAAUGCUGAACAAGAGCAAACCAGAGAACGGAGAAAACGUUCUAAGCUCAGUAAAGUAAGCGAUACUCGCAAUGUAGAGUCUGUAGUCUUUUCCGAACAAAAUACAGCAUGUACACCCAUGGAAUUUGAUUCUGUCCAUGGGGAAAUUUUCCAAACUAAGAAGUCGCUAUCUUUCUACAUAUUUACAGUUUAUGAUUAACGUAACGACCAAUAAGCUCUAGUCGUUACUUUAAUCAUAAACUGCGAGUACUCGUAUGUAGAAAGUGGUGACGUCUCAGUUUAAAAAAUUUCCCCAUGGACAGAAUCAAAUUCCAUGGGUGUACCGAAGUAAAACUGAAAACUUCAAGAAAAAGAAAAAAUCAAGCAGGAAAUGAAAUUA